rnacentral:rRNA from 1 species
AUACGGAGGGUGCAAGCGUUAUUCGGAAUCACUGGGCGUAAAGGACGCGUAGGCGGGUUGGCAAGUCAGAUGUGAAAUCCUACAGCUUAACUGUAGAACUGCAUUUGAAACUGCUAACCUAGAGUAUGGGAGGGGGAGAUGGAAUUAGUGGUGUAGGGGUAAAAUCCGUAGAUAUCACUAGGAAUACCGAAAGCGAAGGCGAUCUUCUGGAACAUAACUGACGCUAAGGCGUGAAAGCGUGGGGAGCAAACAGGAUUAGAAACCCUAGUAGUCC